AAAUGCUGCAAGUUCUCCUCUAGCAGGGAGCAGAGCUUCCAGGCAUUAUGAUCUGUCCUGCCUGUCUGGAUGGAACUUCUGCUCCAUACUAUUGGAUAUUACGGAUCUUUCAAACAGAAUGCCAAACUAUAAAGAUGUGUGCAAUAUGAGCACAAUAUAUACUAUGUGAGUAAAGAAGCUACAGGCUGCGGGUAAUAGGAGAACUACUUCAAAGCAGCUAUGGGAAAGCUAAAAGGGGUUAGAAGUAGGGGAAGUUUAUCAGAACAUCAUUAGGCCAUUUCACGGAAGCCAAGAGCAGAAAGGCCACGGAUGUAUGGACUGGAACCAGGAUUGGAGCAUGGGGGAGCCUGCAUGGAUUGGUGACUUUUUCCGCAGAGUGUGGGUUCGUGGCUCUUCAGCUGUAGAUCAGUACUCUGUCCAUAAGUCUAUAGGACAGAAAAGGAUGGCCAAGAGCUCCUGAAUUUUACAUGUUCCAGUCCAGGGCUAAAGAGAUUUCUCUUUCCAACCCAGUCUACACAAUUGAUGAGGAAGAAACAGGAGUUUCCCCAGGUCA
rnacentral:lncRNA from 1 species